AGCGGCAGACGGGUGAGUAACGCGUGGGAACGUACCUUUUGCUACGGAAUAACUCAGGGGACCUGCGGCUGGACGUAUGUGCCCUUCGGGGGAAAGAUUUAUCGGCAAAGGAUCGGCCCGCGUUGGAUUAGCUAGUUGGUGAGGUAAAGGCUCACCAAGGCGACGAUCCAUAGCUGGUCUGAGAGGAUGAUCAGCCACACUGGGACUGAGACACGGCCCAGACUCCUACGGGAGGCAGCAGUGGGGAAUAUUGGACAAUGGGCGCAAGCCUGAUCCAGCCAUGCCGCGUGAGUGAUGAAGGCCCUAGGGUUGUAAAGCUCUUUCACCGGUGAAGAUAAUGACGGUAACCGGAGAAGAAGCCCCGGUUAACUUCGUGCCAGCAGCCGUUUUAAUACGAAGGGGGCUAGCGUUGUUCCGAUUUACUGGGCGUAAAGAGCACUUAGGCGGACCUUUAAGCCUGGGGUGACACCCCG
rnacentral:rRNA from 2 species